rnacentral:rRNA from 1 species
AUGAACGUUGGCGGCGUGGAUUAGGCAUGCAAGUCGAGCGAGAACCGUAGCAAUACGGGGACAGCGGCGAAAGGGAGAGGAACACGUGGAUACCUACCCUCAGGUUCAGGAUAGCUAUGGGAAACUAUAGGUAAUACUGAAUAACAUCUCCGGAUCAAAGGUGUGAUUCCACCUGAGGAGGGGUCCGCGUCCUAUUAGCUUGUUGGCGAGGUAACGGCUCACCAAGGCGAAGAUGGGUAUGGGGUGUGAGAGCAUGCCCCCACUCACUGGGACUGAGACACUGCCCAGACACCUACGGGUGGCUGCAGUCGAGAAUCUUCGGCAAUGGGGGAAACCCUGACCGAGCGACGCCGCGUGCGAGAUGAAGGCCUUCGGGUUGUAAAUCGCUGUCAGAGGGGAGGAAAUGCUAGUGGGCUAUCCCAUUAGUUUGACCUAUCCUCAGAGGAAGGACGGGCUAAGUUCGU